UUUCCGUAGGUGAACCUGCGGAAGGAUCAUUACUGAUUGCCCUAGUGGCAUACCCCUAUACCCACUCUCUCUUGUUAACCCCUUGUUUGACACUCUGUGCCGCUUUUAUAAACAACCUGCAAAGAAAGUCAAGUUAUUAUAACUAAAAAUAACUUUCAACAACGGAUCUCUAGGCACUCGCAUCGCUGAAGAAAGCAGCAGAUUGGAAGAGCACAUGUCUGAACUCCACUCUCUGUGUACGAAUUCGUAAGCCGUCCUCUGGAUGUAAAGAAAAAUCAC
rnacentral:misc_RNA from 1 species